AACGAACGCUGGCGGUAUGCUUAACACAUGCAAGUCGAACGAACAAAAUUGGGGCUUGCUCCAAUUUUAGCGAGUGGCAAACGGGUGAGUAACACGUGGGAAUCUACCUAUCAGUACGGAAUAACAUUUGGAAACAGAUGCUAAUACCGUAUAUUCUCCAAGGAGGAAAGAUUUAUCGCUGAUAGAUGAGCCCGCGUAAGAUUAGGUAGUUGGUAGGGUAAUGGCCUACUAAGCCGACGAUCUUUAGCUGGUCUGAGAGGAUGAUCAGCCACACUGGGACUGAGACACGGCCCAGACCCCUACGGGAGGCAGCAGUGGGGAAUAUUGGACAAUGGGCGAAAGCCUGAUCCAGCAAUACCGCGUGAAUGAUGAAGGCCUUAGGGUUGUAAAGUUCUUUUAGUUGGAAAGAUAAUGACGGUACCAACAGAAAAAGCCCCGGCUAACUCCGUGCCAGCAGCCGCCGUAA
rnacentral:rRNA from 1 species